rnacentral:rRNA from 1 species
ACGCACGCUGGCGGCGUGCUUCACCCCUGCCAGUCGCACGGAAAGGCCCUGCUUUUGUGGGGUGCUCGAGUGGCGAACGGGUGAGUAACACGUGAGUAACCUGCCCUUGACUUUGGGAUAACUUCAGGAAACUGGGGCUAAUACCGGAUAGGAGCUCCCGCUGCAUGGUGGGGGUUGGAAAGUUUCGGCGGUUGGGGAUGGACUCGCGGCUUAUCAGCUUGUUGGUGGGGUAGUGGCUUACCAAGGCUUUGACGGGUAGCCGGCCUGAGAGGGUGACCGGCCACAUUGGGACUGAGAUACGGCCCAGACUCCUACGGGAGGCAGCAGUGGGGAAUAUUGCACAAUGGGCGGAAGCCUGAUGCAGCAACGCCGCGUGCGGGAUGACGGCCUUCGGGUUGUAAACCGCUUUCGCCUGUGACGAAGCGUGAGUGACGGUAAUGGGUAAAGAAGCACCGGCUAACUACGUG